AGACAGUGAGGGAAGUUGAAAGUAGGAAGUCAGACUGCCAGACGCCAUUUUACAGCUCGUCAGGAGGAGAACAACAGGACUGGAGAAGAUGAGUGAUGAAGAGGACAAAUCUUCAGUCUCCAGCGGUCUGUCUCUGAAGAGUGACCGGUCUAUGGAGAGACCUCCACUCUUCAGUAAUGAACCUGGACCCUCAGACACAAAACAGAGAGCAGGGUCUACGGUCUCCAUGUGGUCUCUGAAGAGUGACCGGUCUAA